UGACAACCUCAGCAAACUGGAAAUGCCAUUGCGUCACUUCCUGUCCUGGCGAGGAAAACAAAUGUGCGGAGAAUUUAGUAAUCAUAGUAUUUUUGUGUAGCUUUGUUACAAAGUACAAGUAAUAAUGAGUCAGAGUUGACCAGUUUUGGAAGCACCAGCCAGCGUGACGUCAAUCGGGAGGCUGUUGACCUCUGACCUGACACGAUAACCUCGAUGAGGUCUCCAUCCUGCAGCUCAUCGGCGUCUGUCAGGCGUUGCAGCAGCUGUUCAGAGGCGGGUUGAUGUCUGAAGAGGAGGAGCUUCUCGCCGACGCCCACCACGCUGCAGUCUGGAGCCUGAAGACAGAAGAAGACAUUUAUUCCGGAAGAUAAAACCAGCUAAUCCUAAUAUGAAAGCCAAUACAUGGAAAAAUAAAAAUAAAACCAUC